rnacentral:lncRNA from 1 species
GUCGGAUUCAUAGAUGCAUUUCUAUUAGGAAGUGUUCUCUCUUGGUUUAUACCUUUAAUGAAAAAGGAUUCACAAUUUUUUUAUAAAUUUAAUUCUUUCUUAAAAGUGUUUAUAGCCAUAUUUGAAGAAAGUGAUUAAGAAAGAGUAGUAGAAACCAAGUAUCAUGGACAUACAUAGAUAUUAUAAUAAAUAUCUAUAUGAUUAGGUAGGAGUAGGUAAAAAAAGAUAAAAGUAG